rnacentral:rRNA from 1 species
AUGCAUGAUUGCUUACUCUUCAGCAAGGCAACUAACGAGAAGGACGAGGCAUUGGACACGAUUUUGCUCUCUUACUGUCAAGCUUCUGGCCAUCGCAUCAACAAUGAAAAAUCCUCAAUUUUCUUUGGUAAAAAAUGUUCUCAAGCAGUAAGGGAAGAGAUAAAAGAAGCUUCGGAAGUGCACAAAGAAUCCCUCUAAGAGAAAUAUUUGGGUCUCCCCUCAGAGGUAGGACGAGGGAAGAACGGUACUUCUGCAUAUUUAAAAGAUCGAGUAUGGAAGUGUGUAUAG